rnacentral:rRNA from 1 species
GAUGAACGCUGGCGGCGUGCCUAAUACAUGCAAGUCGAGCGAACGGACGAGAAGCUUGCUUUUCUGAUGUUAGCGGCGGACGGGUGAGUAACACGUGGAUAACCUACCUAUAAGACUGGGAUAACUUCGGGAAACCGGAGCUAAUACCGGAUAAUAUUUUGAACCGCAUGGUUCAAAAGUGAAAGUCGGUCUUGCUGUCACUUAUAGAUGGAUCCGCGCUGCAUUAGCUAGUUGGUAAGGUAACGGCUUACCAAGGCAACGAUGCAUAGCCGACCUGAGAGGGUGAUCGGCCACACUGGAACUGAGACACGGUCCAGACUCCUACGGGAGGCAGCAGUAGGGAAUCUUCCGCAAUGGGCGAAAGCCUGACGGAGCAACGCCGCGUGAGUGAUGAAGGUCUUCGGAUCGUAAAACUCUGUUAUUAGGGAAGAACAUAUGUGUAAGUAUCUGUGCACAUCUUGACGGUACCUAAUCAGAAAGCCACGGCUAACUACGUG